AAAACGGCUCUUUUAGGAGCCACACACCUAUACGAAAGUCAUGUCU
rfam:Nematostella vectensis strain CH2 x CH6 NEMVEscaffold_84_Cont11325, whole genome shotgun sequence.